UACGGAGGAGGCAAGCGUUAUCCGGAAUUAUUGGGCGUAAAGCGUCCGCAGGUGGCUAUUCAAGUCUGCGGUCAAAGACUGGGGCUUAACCCUGGAAAGGCCGUGGAAACUGAAGAGCUAGAGUGCAGUAGGGGUAGAGGGAAUUCCCGGUGUAGCGGUGAAAUGCGUAGAGCUCGGGAAGAACAUCGGUGGCGAAGGCGCUCUGCUGGACCAUAACUGACACUCAGGGACGAAAGCUAGGGGAGCGAAUGGG
rnacentral:rRNA from 1 species